AGGACGAACGCUGGCGGCGUGCUUAACACAUGCAAGUCGAGCGGAAAGGCCCUUCGGGGUACUCGAGCGGCGAACGGGUGAGUAACACGUGAGUAAUCUGCCCCUAGCUCUGGGAUAGCUCCGGGAAAACCGGGAUUAAUACCAGAUACGACCACUUUAGACAUCUUCUGUGGUGGAAAGAACUUCGGCUAGGGAUGAACUCGCGGCCUAUCAGCUUGUUGGUGAGGUAACGGCUCACCAAGGCGACGACGGGUAGCCGGCCUGAGAGGGCGACCGGCCACACUGGGACUGAGACACGGCCCAGACUCCUACGGGAGGCAGCAGUGGGGAAUAUUGCGCAAUGGGCGAAAGCCUGACGCAGCGACGCCGCGUGGGGAUGAAGGCCUUCGGGUUGUAAACCCUUUCAGCAGGGACGAAGCGAAAGUGACGGUACCUGCAGAGAAGCGCCGGCUAACUACGUGCCAGCAGCCGC
rnacentral:rRNA from 1 species